rnacentral:rRNA from 1 species
CUAGCGACUUCAGAGUUUGAUCCUGGCUCAGGAUGAACGCUGGCGGCGUGCUUAACACAUGCAAGUCGAACGGACUUUUAUUGAAGCCUAGCGAUAUAAAAGUUAGUGGCGGACGGGUGAGUAACGCGUGGGUAACCUGCCGUAUGCUGGGGGACAACAGUUAGAAAUGACUGCUAAUACCGCAUAAGCGCACAGAAUCGCAUGAUUCAGUGUGAAAAACUCCGGUGGCAUACGAUGGACCCGCGUCUGAUUAGCUAGUUGGUGAGGUAACGGCUCACCAAGGCGACGAUCAGUAGCCGGCCUGAGAGGGUGAACGGCCACAUUGGGACUGAGACACGGCCCAA